UGUGCGUCCUUAACAUCUUGAAGAUUGCCCCGUGUCCGUGCAUGUGCCUCCGUCUCUCUUCGGCCAUGUGGUAUUCCACAGAGACCAGUUUACGGUUUGAAGGCUCCUUCCGGAAGCUGAGCGCCCAGAAGAAACAGGACCAGAGAGGGGAAGAGACUUGCUCAAAGUAACACAGCCAGGGUGCAGAUUCCUGACUUCCGGACAAGGCUCCUUCCUCCAUCCACGGACUUCGGUCAGUUACCGUUGCAAACACCGCUAGAGUUCCCUCCUGAACAUGAGCCUGUGUACGUGACACCGUGGGCAGCAAGCAGGGAGCCUGUGAUACGGAUGUUUGACAGCUGGCCGGAGCCCCAGGGAACUAUGUGGAGCUGGAUCACACGGCGUGGACUAGAGCAGGCCUGCGAGGCCUGGAUCCCACUUUGCUCGGCCCAACCUCCAGAGACGUCCUCAACAACUCGUUAGGGGCACCCACGAAGGAUGGGCUGAGGGUUUCUUUAGUUGUUGGCAGAGCCUCGGGAGUCCUGUGACCUUCCCACCUGCUGUGAGCUCACCAAGCCUGCUUGACACCUGAGCUCCAGAUGGCUUCUUUUCGGGCCCAGCUCAUGUUCCUCUCUGGGGGACAUGCCCCAGCUUGGAGGUAACUGAAGACCCCUGUCUCCUAUUAGAGAAGGAAACUGAACCAUAGCUUUUGGUGAGGCCCCUGGAUAUUCAUGACAGGGUCACUGCUUGGAAGCAGGCAAAGAGAACUUGGUAUUAUGGAGAGCAAGGGAUGUUCUUUGCAGUUCUCUCAACUCACUUGCUUUUGCUUGCCUCAGGACCCUUGGACCUGCUGCAGCUUCUGCCUGAGGUGGGCUCAGCCCCCAGCCCACCUCCUUUAUCUGGAGCACUGUCCUCACAAACUCAUCUCGGCCAUAACCUCCUCUGGGAGGUCUUCUCUGAGCUUCUAACCAAAAAGCCUCUGGCUCCUAAAAUUGCCUGUUCCUCCCCAUCUUAGAAUUUAGCACCAGAUACUGAAAUUACUGGUUUCUAUGUGUGUGUGUGGCCAAGUUUUAUAAAUGUCCCAUUUGUGUUUGAAAACAUGCCUAGGGGCGCCUGGGUGGCUCAGGUGGUUAAGUGUCUACCUUUGACUCAGGU